GAAUUCCGGUCUCCUCUCCAG
rnacentral:miRNA from 1 species